AACAGUACUUGAGCAGACGCCAUUAUUCACAGAGACAGUCUCGGUAAAAAUUUUAUUUUAAAGUCGGAUUUCGGGUUUGAGGAACCGUUCUUACACUUCCGUGGUAAAUUAUAUUUUGUUAAAUGUAACAAACUGUAACGUUAACUAUGUCUUCCAUUGUUUGCCAAACGAAUGUCGGAGCCGUCGCAUUUGACAUUUUCAGCACACCAUCACAUCUCACUCGACGUGGAGGUAAGUUACGUGUUACAGUGUGCUCACUUUCAGUUUUAUAAAUAAGUUUAUUAACUUUUAAUUGUUGUUGAUGCGGUGUAUUUGUUACUGCGCGUGCCGUAAAGCAUCCGGCAUGUUAACGUUACUGAGGUGAUGUUAAGCAGCUAAAUCUGAAGUGUCGUACAACUGUGUUUAGAGCGCUGUGUGCCUCCAACAGAAGCUGGCAGAGCAAUUGUCAAGAAAAGAAGAUACCAUUACGACUUUUUUUAUUCUUUAAAAGAGAUUACGACUAGGUGAAGAUCUGACAUCGCGGAAUUCUUCAAGGAUAACGCACCUUUUCUGCCAAACGAGGUUGUAAUUGCUGCUGUGUUGUGCAUCCCAAGUACCCCCUGCAUUCUUAUCAAGGUCUUCCUGUGAAGAAAUCCUGAACGAGGGUCGACGGUUCAGAUGAAGGGAACCGACGCUUCCAAGACUCGUGUAUGAACAACUUCGAGAAUCCAUGUACAAUCUGAGCUUUUUUCAGAUCUCAACAUGGAACUUGGACUGAACAUGCAGCAGAAGGAAAAAAGAAGUAGUUUCCCCAAGCUGGCACAUGGCAAGAGAUACUAAAAGCACACAAACACUUGGAGCCCUGCUCUUAAUUUAGAUUGUAUAGUUCUCUUAGUUUCCCAUUGAAAUGUCAGGCAUGAGUGCAUGAAUCUUUGUUCUUUAUUUUCUAAUGAUGUACAAAGUUUUUUUUUUUUGUUUUUUUUGCAGUACCAUGUCAGUUGUAGAUGACAGAAUUCACAUUUUUUUGAUGUGAACUGUCCUUUUAAAUAACAUUUCACUUGACUAUUGACUAGAAGUAUGUAGCAAUUGUUAUUAAUGACAGCCCUGUCUUUGUAUUAAUUUUUUCCCAUGUAUCUGAAAAUGUUUUGAAUCUUGACUGUUUCACAGUGAAGUUUGUGACCACUAUUUGGUGCAACACCAAUAUUGUA